rnacentral:rRNA from 1 species
GACGAACGCUGGCGGCGUGGAUUAGGCAUGCAAGUCGAACGGUAGGAUACCUUCGGGUAUCUGAGAGUGGCGAACGGGUGAGUAACACGUAGGUGAUCUACCCUCAAGAUUGGGACAACCCAGGGAAACUUGGGCUAAUACCGGAUGAAAGCAGCAGUGAUGUUGUUUGAAAGGUGGCGUAAGCUGCCGUUUGGGGAUGAGCCUGCGCUCUAUUAGUUAGUUGGCGGGGUAAAGGCCCACCAAGGCGAUGAUAGAUAGGCGGCCUUAACGGGUGGUCGCCCACACUGGGAUUGAGAUACGGCCCAGACUCCUACGGGAGGCAGCAGUCGAGAAUAGUCUACAAUGGCCGAAAGGCUGAUAGUGCGACGCUGCGUGAACGAAGAAGCCCUUCGGGGUGUAAAGUUCUUUUAUAUGUGAGCAGUGCUUUCUAUGUGAACAGCAUGGGGAAGAGAUAUUAGCAUAUGAAUAAGCAACGGCUAACUCCGUGCC